UACGUAGGGGGCAAGCGUUUGUCCGGAUUUAUUGGGCGUAAAGAGCGUGUAGGCGGCCUUUUAAGUCCUGCGUGAAAUCCUGCGGCUCAACCGCAGACGGUCGUGGGAAACUGGAAGGCUAGAGUGCGGGAGAGGAGAGUGGAAUUCCCGGUGUAGCGGUGAAAUGCGCAGAUAUCGGGAAGAACACCCGUGGCGAAGGCGGCUCUCUGGAACGCAACUGACGCUGAGACGCGAAAGCGUGGGGAGCAAACAGG
rnacentral:rRNA from 1 species